rnacentral:lncRNA from 1 species
CGUGUCUUUCCGUUACUUAACACUUCUUGAGGCUGGUUUUUAAUUUGUUUCGGAUAACUUUGAGGACCAUUGUACCUUGAUUAGUACUUGACGCAGACAUUACACCACUUUGGUGAGAGAAGCAAGAUUUUUCCUCCCAUUUGCAAAACACAGAAACAACUUGAUCCUAUCGGGAGAAAAACCAAUUUAUUACGAAGAAAAAUACAUGAUCUGUGAUGUUUUAGGCCCUGUAUACCUAAGAUGCUUUUGUGUGCCACCGAACAAGCCAGUCUUUCCCGGAUAGGUUCACACUAAAUUGGCGUUUGGGGAUUGAUCUGGAACCGGCCUGUGCUGUGAAUCUCACUGCGAUUGCGUUGAGCCGGGUGGUGGAGCCACAAUGCCAUUGCCCUGUCUUUACCAACAUUUAAUCAGUGAGCAUUGGGCAUUGCAUACUUACUAGAAAUUUAGGUCCACACCUUUAGCAGUUAUAGGAAUAAAUAUGUACUAUAUAAACAUUUUUUUGAGAGAAAAGUUAUUGUAUUCCACCCAGCAUGCUUUAAAGGGAGGGAGGAUAUAUAAGGUUACUCAGAAAUCACCUGAUUAGUAAUUAGUCUCUUGAACAACUACAGACUCAGUUUUUAUUGCUCAUGUAAAAACUUCCCAAGUCUUGAAAAUAACAUCUCAUUAUUUUGAACAGUUGCCGUUGUCACGGUUCAUUGAGUACAUUGGUUUAAAUUAACACCUGUGGGAAUGAAUAAGCUAUUAAGAAACAAGUGUCCCUAAGGAUUUACACCCUGACACAUAAAUGUUAAAAUACAGAAAAGGCCUUGAAAUGUUUUUGAAGGUAUGAAGGACCUGGUUCAUUUGUCUCAAAUUUCCAUACCUGUCUGGUGGAAAGACUAAAACCUUAGAACAACAACAAAGUUUAGGGACUUCAUUCCACUUUUAUAUUGAGGCUACAUCGUUAACACUGAGAUGUUACCGUGCCAUAUCAAAAGUUUACCUUAAUAGUUCAUUGUAUCUAACCAUUAUGAUUUUCAACACUUUUUUCCAUAUUGUAAAGAUUCCCUAGAAAUUAGUUCAGUUAAAUGCUUUCCAAUUUCAAUUCCAAAGCAUUGUCUGUGUGUAAAUAACAGAUGAUCAGAGAAAGUGAAAAACCUAUUGCCAAGGGUUAAUUAUACAUAUAGUUAUAAAAUUAUAGGAAAUUUUUUUGCUUUCAUAUGUCUGUCUUGAAAUUGUUUUUGUUUUGCGAAGAGAUUUUUUUUGUAAUAGCAGCCACAAAUUGGUUUUGCUUGCUUUGAUUCCAUAAUGGUAAUUAAGUUUAAAUAUUAGGAGAAGUUUAUCAUUACCCAAUUUUUUCAAAUUUGUGGAAAGAUAGCCCCUUCUGUGGUUAAGUACGAGAAAGAAUCAGGGAAAAAAACACAUUGGAAAGCUCUUUAUCAAUGAUUUAAUUUUCCUUUUGGUCAUCCUAUAUUUUAUUUUAUUUUAUUUAUUUAUUUGUUUGUUUGUUUAUUCAUUUUGGUACCAGGGAUCGAACUCUGGUCCUUGCGCUUGCACAGCAGGCGGCAAAACCACUAAGCUAAAUCCCCGGCCCUCAUCCUGUAUUUUAAAAUACCAUUUUAAGCCAGGUGUGGUGGCACAUGCCUGUAAUCCCAGCACUCUGGAGACUGAGGCAGAAGGAUCACCAUGAGUUUGAGGCCAGCCUGGACUACAUAGUGAGACUCUGUCUCAAAAAACAAACAAAAAAACGUCAUUUUGGUUAGGUACACUGUUGGGUUAUUCUUUGAAGCACCAGUAAUCAAAGCUAAUUAUUCACUUACCAUCAGUGUUUUGUAGCAAAAGAAGUACUCAUUAGGUUUAUAUACUCCCAGUGUGUGUAUUAGUAUCUGGUAAGGAAGUGCACUUAAAAAAUUAACCUGAGUGUAAAUCUGAGGAAUGUGGUAAUAAUUUGUAUUUCCUUUUAAAGAGCUUCUGAUGGUUGGUUCCUUGCAUAAAAGUGCUCAUAUUUGGAUAUGAAAUCUCAGUCUAGCCAGACACAUUAUAAGCCCUCAAAUUGUGUACUGGGUGAAAAAUAAUCUUUUUAGUAGGCAGUAUGAUCUUGUUGCUGAGCCAGGUUUGAAAUCUUGUGCCUUAAGAUGACCCAUAUUGCCUGGUAAUUGUCUUUACUCAAAUAGUGACUUUGUUUUUCAUAGUUGAGAAUUGAAUCAACUUCAAGCAAUUGAAGUCUAUGAAAACAGACUUCAUUAACAACUUCAUUAACCUUUAUGGAGUAUAGUCAUUUUAUCACCUCAGAACCAAGCCAUAAUGAACAUUAAUUAGGUACCUUGACUCAUCACACUCUAUGUUGAUUAAUCUCAAUUUUUUUGCAGAAAGUAUGUAAAGCUGCCCAUUUCCAGGGGUCUGGAACCAUACUUUAGCCCUCAAGUGCAGUGUUCCUAAAGGGAGUUAAAAUCCUUAUUCAUGAAGAUAGUAUUCUGUGGCCUUAUCUGUUUUCUGACAUCCUUGCAUGUACCCAUGUUCAAGAUGUAGGAAACUUACAUUUUAUGUGCCAUGAAGAUUUUUCUGUUUUAUUUUAAAACAAAUAUACCCUAAAAUAUAUCUUUCGAAUUAUUUAUGUGUUACUAGACAACUCCCCUUUUAAGUAUUUUCCUAAGGCAUUGCUUAUAUGCAAUAGUUGGUAAUGGUGCUAAUCAAAAAUUUUUAAUAGCAACCUCGAAAAACAAAUGUUCAGUAAUAUUUAUUGGUUAGAUACAUUUAGAUACUAUUUACUUCCUGAAGUGUAGGACAUAAACAGGAGUAUUGGAAAAUGCUUCUGCUACAGUAAGCAAAGGCUAGAAAGGAUGGAUCUCAGUGUGGUAAAAACAAACGGUGGGCAAGAGUUGGAAGAUAACGCGGUAUGCAGACAUUGCUUCCUUCCAUCAUACAGGGCCAGGCAGACUGAAACUAAAUGCCACUUACUGCCUGCGUCCCAGCUCACCGGAUAGACUUGUGCUGUUCUGUACCUUGCUAGCUUUCCUGUUCUAACAGUAUUUACUCCUGCGACGUAGGCUCAUCCCACCUUCUAACGUAGAAUCCCCACCCCGGCAACUGGUCCGCGGGUUGCCACCUGUGUUUCUCGUGGUCUCCACUGAUGGUACCUGCCCACUCCAUCCCUGUGCUCACACUAUGUGUGGAUCUAGUAGCAAUCUGUUUACUAGGAAAUGUGACCUCUCCUUAGGUUGUUUUGGG